rnacentral:rRNA from 1 species
GAUGAACGCUGGCGGCGUGCCUAAUACAUGCAAGUCGAGCGAACAGAUGAGGAGCUUGCUCCUCUGACGUUAGCGGCGGACGGGUGAGUAACACGUGGAUAACCUACCUAUAAGACUGGGAUAACUUCGGGAAACCGGAGCUAAUACCGGAUAAUAUAUUGAACCGCAUGGUUCAAUAGUGAAAGACGGUUUUGCUGUCACUUAUAGAUGGAUCCGCGCCGCAUUAGCUAGUUGGUAAGGUAACGGCUUACCAAGGCAACGCUGCGUAGCCGACCUGAGAGGGUGAUCGGCCACACUGGAACUGAGACACGGUCCAGACUCCUACGGGAGGCAGCAGUAGGGAAUCUUCCGCAAUGGGCGAAAGCCUGACGGAGCAACGCCGCGUGAGUGAUGAAGGUCUUCGGAUCGUAAAACUCUGUUAUUAGGGAAGAACAAAUGUGUAAGUAACUAUGCACGUCUUGACGGUACCUAAUCAGAAAGCAACGGCUAACUACGUG